rnacentral:rRNA from 1 species
AAUCCCACAGGCCGUAAACCCAAGGUUUCCAGGGGAAGGUUCGUCCGCCCUGGGUUAGUCGGGACCUAAGCUGAGGCCGAAAGGCGUAGGUGAUGGACAACAGGUUGAUAUUCCUGUACUACCGAUAACCGUUUGAGAGAAGGGAUGACACAGUAGGAUAAGCUAAGCACACUGUUGGUUAUGUGUGCCCAAGCAUUGAGGCAGUCAAAGUAGGCAAAUCCGCUUUGAUAAUGCUGGGAUGUGAUGGGGAGCGAAAUUUAGUAGCGAAGUAGCUGAUUUCACACUGUCAAGAAAAGUCUCUAUCGAGGUUAAAGGUACCCGUACCGCAAACCGACACAGGUGGGUGAGGAGAGUAUCCUAAGGCCAGCGAGAGAACUGUUGUUAAGGAACUCGGCAAAAUGACCCCGUAACUUAGGGAUAAGGGGUGCCACCAUCAGGUGGCCGCAGAGAAUAGGCCCAAGCGACUGUUUACCAAAAACAUAGGUUUCUGCUAAGUCGCAAGACGAUGUAUAGGAGCUGACGCCUGCCCGGUGCUGGAAGGUUAAGGGGAUCUGUUAGAGCAAUCGAAGCAGUGAACUUAAGCCCCAGUAAACGGCGGCCGUAACUAUAACGGUCCUAAGGUAGCGAAAUUCCUUGUCGGGUAAGUUCCGACCCGCACGAAAGGCGUAACGAUUUGGGCACUGUCUCAACAACAGACUCGGUGAAAUUGUAAUUCCGGUGAAGAUGCCGGAUACCUGCGACAGGACGGAAAGACCCCAUGGAGCUUUACUGUAGCUUGACAUUGGGUCUUGGUACUACAUGUACAGGAUAGGUGGGAGGCUUUGAAACCAGGACGCCAGUUUUGGCGGAGCCAUCCUUGGGAUACCACCCUUGUAGUACUGGGACUCUAACCAUAGGCCAUGAAUCUGGUCUUGGGACACUGUCAGGUGGGCAGUUUGACUGGGGCGGUCGCCUCCCAAAAGGUAACGGAGGCGCUCAAAGGUUCUCUCAGUACGGUCGGAAAUCGUACGUAGAGUGUAAAGGCAAAAGAGAGCUUGAUUGCAAGACAUACAGGUCGAGCAAGGAUGAAAAUCGGACUUAGUGAUCCGGUGGUUCUGCGUGGAAGGGCCAUCGCUCAACGGAUAAAAGCUACCCUGGGGAUAACAGGCUUAUCUCCCCCAAGAGUCCACAUCGACGGGGAGGUUUGGCACCUCGAUGUCGGCUCAUCACAUCCUGGGGCUGUAGUAGGUCCCAAGGGUUGGGCUGUUCGCCCAUUAAAGUGGUACGCGAGCUGGGUUCAGAACGUCGUGAGACAGUUCGGUCCCUAUCCGUCGCAGGCGUAGGAAAUUUGAGAAGACCUGUCCUUAGUACGAGAGGACCGGGAUGGACGUACCUCUGGUGUACCAGUUGUCCUGCCAAGGGCAUGGCUGGGUAGCUAUGUACGGAAUGGAUAAGCGCUGAAAGCAUCUAAGCGCGAAGCCAACUUCAAGAUAAGAUUUCCCACCGCAAGGGUAAGACCCCAGAAAGACUAUCUGGUUGAUAGGUCGAAGGUGUAAGUGCAGCAAUGUAUUUAGCUUAUCGAUACUAAUAGGUCGAGGACUUGACC